UAGGAGAUGUCAUUAUGGAAGACUUGUCCUU
rnacentral:piRNA from 1 species